AAACCUGAAACGUUUUCUGCUACUGAUGUGCUGUGUCCUCAGAGGUUUUGAUCUCCUUCCCUUUACCCAUGAUGUAGAGUGGCCUCAGAAUACUACCUGGCAAUUGCAGUGGCUGUACACCAAAAUCUGUUUUCCUUUUUCUGGAGUUGUAGCUGGAACAUAGCUGUCUGACUGGGAACUACAUUUUCCUGCCUGCUUUGAAGCUGAG